rnacentral:tRNA from 1 species
GUUGCUUUGGCCGAGUGGUUAAGGCGUGUGCCUGCUAAGUACGUGGGGUUUUCUCACGAUAGUUCGAAUCUCUCAGGCAACG